rnacentral:rRNA from 1 species
GAGGGAAGGAAAAGAAAUUAACUAAGAUUCCUUUAGUAGCGGCGAGCGAAACAGGAAAAGCCCAGCACUAAGUCCUCCGGUCGUUCUGGCCGGUAGGAGAUGCAGUGUAUGGAAAGUCUAUUAUCUUAUGCGACGGUAGUACGUUCAAGUCCAUCUUGAAUGGGGCCAUUUAACCCAUAGAGGGUGCCAGGCCCGUACCAACUGCUACCAGUAUAAGAAGGCUAUUCCAAAGAGUCGUGUUGCUUGAUAGUGCAGCACUAAGUGGGUGGUAAACUCCAUCUAAGGCUAAAUAUAACCACGAGACCGAUAGCGAACAAGUACCGUGAGGGAAAGUUGAAAAGCACUCUGAAUAGAGAGUUAAAUAGUACGUGAAACCGCUUAGGGGUUAAGCCCGAUGAACCUGAAUAUCUGAAUGGCGAAAUUCAGUGCUGUUUGGCGGUGCAUUUCACGAUGUGCUGUCGACAGUAUGCACUUUUCGCCUAGUAGGACAUUGCGAUCCAUUCGUAGUUCUCUUUGAGACGGUCUAUCACACGGCCCGUGUAGUCAGUUUAGUCUAUCCGCAGCACUUGUGUUGUAUGUCUAAUGCUACUGCGGUGUCCCGGUAGACAGCGGAUGGAGCUUAACAAUCAUGCCACCAUGCAAAUGUAUCACGGCCACUUCGCAUUCAUGUGUUGGGGUGCAGUGAUCGCAUGUAUUUGAUUAGCAAUGCGAUAGAUUUGGGAUACCUUCGGGACCCGUCUUGUAACACGGACCAAGAAGUCUAACAUGUGUGCGAGUCAUUGGGUAUUUCGUUGAAACCUAAAGGCGCAAUUAAAAUAACUAUUUUAUGGGAUUACAAGCGAUCUCCAAUGAUCGUUUCUCCAUCCCGGGGCGUUCUAUGUGAACAUGGUUCAAGCAAUUGGGCCCUCUGUUCGAGAGCGUACCUUGAGCAUACAUGCU